GAUGAACGCUGGCGGCGUGCCUAAUACAUGCAAGUCGAGCGAACGGACGAGAAGCUUGCUUAUCUGAUGUUAGCGGCGGACGGGUGAGUAACACGUGGAUAACCUACCUAUAAGACUGGGAUAACUUCGGGAAACCGUAGCUAAUACCGGAUAAUAUUUUGAACCGCAUGGUUCAAAAGUGAAAGACGGUCUUGCUGUCACUUAUAGAUGGAUCCGCGCUGCAUUAGCUAGUUGGUAAGGUAACGGCUUACCAAGGCAACGAUGUAUAGCCGACCUGAGAGGGUGAUCGGCCACACUGGAACUGAAACACGGUCCAGACUCCUACGGGAGGCAGCAGUAGGGAAUCUUACGCAAUGGGCGAAAGCCUGACGGAGCAACGGCGCGUGAGUGAUGAAGGUCUUCGGAUCGUAAAACUCUGUUAUUAGGGAAGAACAUAUGUGUAAGUAACUGUGCACAUCUUGACGGUACCUAAUCAGAAAGCCACGGCUAACUACGUG
rnacentral:rRNA from 1 species